GACGAACCGUGCGAACGUUAUUCGGAAUCACUGGGCUUAAAGGGUGCGUAGGCGGGCACGCGAGUCAGGGGUGAAAUCCCACGGCCCAACCGUGGAAGUGCCUCUGAUACCGCGAGCCUCGAGGGGGAUAGGGGCGUGCGGAACUUCCGGUGGAGCGGUGAAAUGCGUAGAUAUCGGAAGGAACACCGGUGGCGAAAGCGGCGCGCUGGAUCCCUACUGACGCUGAGGCACGAAAGCCAGGGGAGCAAACGGG
rnacentral:rRNA from 1 species